UAGGAGCAAUAUUACAAUCCAGUAGAUGGGAGUGGGUUUCUGGCAUGGAGAGUGAAAGCACUUCAAAAAGAAGCAUCAGAGGGACAAAAGAAGAACAGAACCGCUCAGCUAAUGACGGGUGGUCCAAAUGCUUGUGACAGAAUCCCCUUCUGUGAGGAAAACCAGCUAACAGAAGCCCAGUGUUGUGAGGCCAUUGCACUGAUGAAGCAUACAACGGAUGAAGCAAUCAUCAAGAAGAUGAAACAGACCUUCACCUAUCGCCAAGCAAUGGUUCAUGAUCCAAUUAAGUCCUCUGAAAUAUUCACCACCUUUCCCAGAUUCCUUGACAUCGCAGGAAUGAUUGAUCAGGAUUUCAGUCUGAUGUUUGGUGGUGACAUCUCAGCAGAGUUCCUGGAGAAGUGGCCUACUUUCUACAGGCAGAAAGUCUUUGAACAAUGCAAUACUGUAUUAUUUGUUUCAUUGUGUAAUUAAAA